rnacentral:rRNA from 1 species
UACGUAGGGUGCAAGCGUUGUCCGGAAUUAUUGGGCGUAAAGAGCUCGUAGGCGGUUUGUCGCGUCUGCUGUGAAAACUCGGGGCUUAACCCCGGGCCUGCAGUGGGUACGGGCAGACUAGAGUCCGGAAGAGGAGAGUGGAAUUCCCGGUGUAGCGGUGAAAUGCGCAGAUAUCGGGAAGAACACCCGUGGCGAAGGCGGCUCUCUGGGACGGUACUGACGCUGAGACGCGAAAGCGUGGGGAGCGAACAGG